GCAGGCCCCAGAGGGCUGGGUGGAGCGUGUGGCACCGUGCUGCUGUCUGGGCACCCGGU
ensembl:miRNA